ACCUCUCUCAGAGAUCGUGGUCGGUCGUAGGUGCGAAGAAUGGCAAAGCCAAAAUCUCCCUACUCUCACUUUCAUUGCGCAUACAGGAGUAAAACCCGCAUACUCGCACAUAUGUUAGACUCCUUGGUCCGUGUUUCAAGACGGGUCGGUUGGAACCGAUUAAGCCAGCAUCACAGAAACCGAGUACUCGAAAGUGGAGCUCGGAAACAGGAACACUCCUCAGCCACAAGGAAAAGGAAAGAACAAAGAUAUAACGGUCCACAAGGAACCUACCUUCUUUGAACGAAAUCAAUUCCGAGUAGCUGAUGCUGACCUCUCCAAAAAGAUGAACCGGAAAUACAUCAAGAAACCAAAGCCUAAACCUGGUGAGAGAGAGAAGGCAAAGGGAUAGAUGGCAAACCGGCGGCACUUCUUGGAAUCAAAAAGGUCCCAAUCGCUUCCUUUUCAGCAAUUUCAGGCACUUUUAACUCUCUUUCCAAAGAACUUUUCAUCUUUCCCUCACGGUACUUGUUUGCUAUCGGUCUCGCGCCAGUACUUAGCUUUAUGUGAAACCUACCACACAUUUUGCGCUCAAAUCCCGAUGAACGCGACUCUAUAAAAGCGUACCGUACGUGGAACAAAAAACGCAGGGGAAGGACGGGAUUCUCCCCCUCUAUGAUGUUCUUUCCCAAGAAACUUAACCCUGCGCUUCCACUGGUAACGCCUCUCGAGGCUACAAGUCAACAGCUCGGAAAGAGCAGUUGAUUUCCACUUUGAGCUGAUCCCGGUUCACUCGCCGUUACUAAGGGAAUCAUAGUUAUUUUCUUCUCCUCCGCUUAAUAAUAUGCUUAAGUUCAGCGGGUAACCUCGCCUGAUUUCAGGUCUG